rnacentral:rRNA from 1 species
AGAGUUUGAUCCUGGCUCAGGACGAACGCUGGCGGCGUGCUUAAUACAUGCAAGUCGAACGAGGGCUCCGGUGCUUGCACUGGAAGACCCGAGUGGCGAACGGGUGAGUAACACGUGACCAACCUGUCCAAGGGUGAGGGACAACCCGGGGAAACCUGGGCUAAUACCGCAUGAUGUCACACUUCCGCAUGGUCGUGUGAUCAAAGAGGGCCUCUGCUUGCAAGCUCUCGCCCAUGGAGGGGGUCGCGACGUAUCAGUUUGUUGGUGGGGUAAUGGACUACCAAGACUACGACGCGUAGCGGAUCUGAGAGGAUGAUCCGUCACAUUGGGACUGAGAUACGGCCCAGACUCCUACGGGAGGCAGCAGUAGGGAAUAUUGCGCAAUGGGCGAAAGCCUGACGCAGCGACGCCGCGUGUGGGAGGAAGCCUUUCGGGGUGUAAACCACUGUCAGAGGGGAAGAACCGCGCCAUGUCGAACAGGCUUGGCGCCUGACGGUACCCUCAGAGGAAGCGCCGGCUAACUCCGUGCCAGCAGCCGC